rnacentral:hammerhead_ribozyme from 1 species
CACCGGCUGAUGAGUCCCAGAUAGGACGAAAUGCGCGUUAUCCUGGUG